ensembl:lncRNA
AUACUGUUGUAUUCAGGAGAAGCUGGAGUGCUACCAGACCUCUGAGGAAAGUCUCGAAGUUGAGCGUCGCCGUAUGAAGGAGACCUGUGAGGCCACGGAAGCUCGAGCUGCCAAGCUGGAACUCACACGCUGGGGGUUGGGGGGAGAGCUGCAGCAUGCCCAGCUCUGAGCCACAGAGAUGGAGUCAGAGGUCAGCUCACUGCAGGAACGCCUUAACAAACUCCGCAGAGAACUGAGAGACAGUGAAGAGCGUGCUUCCCUCCUGAAGGUGUGUGUAGCUUUGUGCUGUGUCUAAAAGGAUAUCAGUCAUGUUUGAGCAAUAUAAUGCAGCACUGUUGUUCCAUUGUAGGUUGAGGGUGAGAGGUUGGCAACUGCCUUGGCACACACAGAACUGCAGGAGAGCCAGUUGAGGGAGCAACUGCAGGCCAUGGCUGCAUCCCUGACUGAAAGCAAUGCUGCUGCAGGAACAGCACAGGAUCAGGCUGCUCAGCUGCAGCAAGUUCUCACAGCCAGCGAACAUGACUGGAAGAUGCUGCAGUCACAGAUCUCUAUCUUGGAGCAGACUCACUCCCAGAGGCUCCUGGAAGUGAUGGCUCGCCACAGACAAGAGCUGGACCUGGAGACAGAGUGGAUGAAGGACUCCCAGCAACAGGCUGAGAGAGCACUGGAGGCCCAAGAGAAAGCUCACUGCGAGAGGGUCCACUGCUUGGAGGAACAGGUUUGAGAAAGCUAUAAAAAAUGUGAUGUAUUGUAAUAGUGACAUCUACAUCACAUUCAACAGCUAGAAGCCUUUAAUAAAUACUUGACUGCUUUGCA